rnacentral:rRNA from 1 species
ACGCUGACACCUACGUGAGGCAGCAGUAGGGAAUCUUCCACAAUGGACGCAAGUCUGAUGGAGCAACGCCGCGUGAGUGAAGAAGGUCUUCGGAUCGUAAAACUCUGUUGUUAGAGAAGAACACGAGUGAGAGUAACUGUUCAUUCGAUGACGGUAUCUAACCAGCAAGUCACGGCUAACUACGUGCCUGCAGCCGCGGUAAUCUGAGCGGGCUGGCAAGGC